rnacentral:rRNA from 1 species
GGAGGAUGCGAGCGUUAUCCAGAUUUAUUGGGUUUAAAGGGGUGCGUAGGGUUGUUCGGUAAGUCAGCGGUGAAACCUGAGCGCUCAACGGUCAGCCUGCCGUUGAAACUGCCGGGCUGAGUUCAGUGGCGGCAGGCGGAAUUCGUGGUGUAGCGGUGAAAUGCAUAGAUAUCACGAGGAACUCCGAUUGCGAAGGCAGCUUGCCAUACUGCGACUGACAACUGAAGCACGAAGGCGUGGAGUAUCAAAACAGGAAUUAGAUACCCUGGUAGUCCACGCAGUAAACGAUGAUUACUAGGAGUUUGCGACAUACCGUCAAGCUUCCACAGCGAAAGCGUUAAGUAAUCCACCUGGGGAGUACGCCGGCAACGGUGAAACUCAAAGGAAUUGACGGGGGCCCGCACAAGCGGAGGAACAUGUGGUUUAAUUCGAUGAUACGCGAGGAACCUUACCCGGGAUUGAAAUGUAGAUGACGGAUGGUGAAGACCGUCUUCCCUUCGGGGCGUCUAUGUAGGUGCUGCAUGGUUGUCGUCAGCUCGUGCCGUGAGGUGUCGGCUUAAGUGCCAUAACGAGCGCAACCCACAUCGGUAGUUGCUAACAGUUUUCGCUGAGGACUCUACCGAGACUGCCGUCGUAAGGCGCGAGGAAGGUGUGGAUGACGUCAAAUCAGCACGGCCCUUACAUCCGGGGCGACACACGUGUUACAAUGGGAGGGACAAAGGGCAGCUACCGGGCGACCGGAUGCGAAUCUCUAAACCCUUCCCCAGUUCGGAUCGGAGUCUGCAACUCGACUCCGUGAGGCUGGAUUCGCUAGUAAUCGCGCAUCAGCCAUGGCGCGGUGAAUACGUUCCCGGGCCUUGUACACACCGCCCGUCAAGCCAUAGGAGUCGGAAAAAUGCCUGAAGGGCGUAACCGCAAGGGGCGCACUAAGGGUCAAUAUUUUGAGUUACCUGGGGCUUAAGGUUUCAGGU